rnacentral:lncRNA from 1 species
AGGUGCAAACAAAGCAGAAGCACCCGAAGGUGCAAACAGAACAGAGGCACCCAAAAGUGCAUGUACAAAACAGAGGCACCCGAAGGCGCAAACAAAACAGAGGCGCGGAUAGGCGCAGGCACCCGAAGGCGCAAUACAAAGACGAAGCUCGCUUCUAUAACAAAGUACAUGUCGACAUGGCCAACAUUAGCAUAGCAGAAUACCAAGAGACAUCAUACUUUAAAAAUUAUCCAGUCACUAAUUUACAGAAUAGAUUAUCAAGUUUCAAAAAUUUAUUUUGCUAAAAGAACUUGUCAAUCACAGUUGAAGCUCAAUUUACAGAAAUAUUUAAUAAUAUGCUUAACCCUUAAUUUUAAAUUCUACAAAAUAAGAUUUUCAUAUAAUCAAAAUAUUUUCCUAAAUUAUUUUACAAAAACUAACGGGUGUUCGGUCGCUUACCUUUAACGCAGCCUUAAAAAAAUAAGGAAUUAUCCGGUUGAAACUGCGCAGAAAAUCAAUCGUCGGAACCUAAAAUAGAGACAUGCAAUUCUCUAUAAGCUAACCAAAAUGAACUUACGAGGAGGAUAUAAUUACAUUUAGAAGGCAUGCAUACACAAAAUUUAAAUUUGGAUAGGCUCACAUGGGUCGAUGAAGUCGGCUACAAAUGCAUGCAAAAAGGGCAAGAUGGAGCACGAAAGAGACUUUGAAUAAUAAACUCGAAGAAACUGAAUUAACAAUCAAAAGAAUUGAGCGUUUCAAAAAUUAAACUAUUUAAAUAAACACAAUAACAUGAACGAAAUUUUAGAUAAUAAACGAAAGAUCAAAGGUUCAAAAAGAGGGUUUUCAAAUGUUGAAACAUUAAUAUGCAAAUCAAUAAUUAGAUAGAAUCAAGAUGGGAACAAAAACAAUAUAUGCCUUCUCUUAGGCAUUUUAUCGAACAUGUAGCGGGCAUUCCAAAGUAUGUAGAAUAUGCGAAGUUUACAGAACUAAAUCAUAUGGAGAAUGCAGGAUCAAGAAAUUAAGGAUACGACCAACAUUAAUUAAGGUCAAUCGAAAUCAGAUUUUAAUGAUUUCAAAUUCCAAUCAUCAAGAGAUAAGUAUUCAAAUAGUAAUAUAAUAAUGAACAAAAAGGUUGGAUGAUCUCACGAUUUGGUAUAGAGACGAAAAUUAAAAAAAGGAAAACCUUCUCAAAGACGAUAACGACGACGAUGGAGUGCCGUCGACGACGAACAACAAAAUGUCGAUAAGAUGUGCGGCGGCGGCAGCCACGGAUGACGAUGACGACGACGUUGAUCGAGUGGCGUCGUGCGCAUAAGCGGAGCGGGAGAGUCCGUACGGCGCUAGAGGGGGCACGAGUCGUGAAGGGAGAAAGAGAGAAUUAGAGAUGAGGUGGCUGGGUGAUACGAUCAAGAGAAGAUAUUAGGAAUUAGGGAUUUAAUUAAACAAUAUGCCGCCAAGCCCCUAAACUUCUAAUAUUUACAAAAAGGUCCAAGUUUCAAAAGAAUAGGAGUCAAAAUAAAGGAAACAUACGUAUGGGGUGUUACAAU